UUCUUGGCUGUUGUUUUGAAGAUGUGUGUUAAUCUUAGGAGAUCGUCUUCCUUCUCGGCGAUUAAUGCAGCGUCGUCUGCAUAACAUAAUAUUUGGAUUUCUUUCUACCCCAUUCUGUAACUAUGACCUUUACGUGAUCUUCUAUUAUUUCGUCCAUUAGUAUAUUAAAAAGCAGUGGGCUUGUCGAGUCACCUUAUCUGACUCCGGUUUGUACUACUAUAAACUGUGUUAGUUUUCCAUUUAUUUUUGCCUGUAUUCGAUGAUGGAAGUAGAUGUUUUCGAUGGUUUGUAUAAUAUGCGACAGUUGUAUAAUAUGGUAUGUUGUGACAGUUCGUAACUAUAAAUAUUCGUAACGUCAAAAAUUGAAAAUUAUUCUGUCUAUUUUUGUUUGAAGUGGAAACAAACUCUUAUUACAGUUACAAUUGAAAUUACUUUUAUCAAUUUAGCGAACGAGCAUCAGGAUAAACGUUUUCAAUACAUUUCAUAUUUCGUGGAGAAAAAGUUUUUAAAAUAAUCUAGUAAUGUAAAUUGUAUUAAUUAUCAUAGUAAAAUUAUUAUUAAACUGUUUUUAUUUGAUUCAUUAUUUUUCACACAAUAGUUUUACAACAUUAAAAAGAUAAUUCAAGAAAAAAAAA
rnacentral:lncRNA from 1 species